GACGAACGCUGGCGGCGUGCCUAAUACAUGCAAGUAGAACGCUGAAGGAGGAGCUUGCUCUUCUGGAUGAGUUGCGAACGGGUGAGUAACGCGUAGGUAACCUGCCUGGUAGCGGGGGAUAACUAUUGGAAACGAUAGCUAAUACCGCAUAAUAGUAGAUGUUGCAUGAUAUUUACUUAAAAGGUGCAAUUGCACCACUACCAGAUGGACCUGCGUUGUAUUAGCUAGUUGGUGGGGUAACGGCUCACCAAGGCGACGAUACAUAGCCGACCUGAGAGGGUGAUCGGCCAAACUGGGACUGAGACACGGCCCCGACUCCUACGGGAGGCAGCAGUAGGGAAUCUUCGGCAAUGGACGAAAGUCUGACCGAGCAACGCCGCGUGAGUGAAGAAGGUUUUCGGAUCGUAAAGCUCGGUUGUAAGAGAAGAACGAGUGUGAGAGUGGAAAGUUCACACUGUGACGGUAUCUUACCAGAAAGGGACGGCUAACUACGUG
rnacentral:rRNA from 1 species